rnacentral:tRNA from 1 species
UAAAGGUUAGUUUAAAUAAAAAAUUUUUAAUUGUCGGUUAAAUAAUGAAAUUCUUUUCACCUUUAA